UACGUAGGGUGCGAGCGUUAAUCGGAAUUACUGGGCGUAAAGCGUGCGCAGGCGGUUCGUUGUGUCGGUGGUGAAAGCCCCGGGCUUAACCUGGGAAUGGCCAUGGAAACUGGCGAACUGGAGUGUGGCAGAGGGGGGUGGAAUUCCGCGUGUAGCAGUGAAAUGGGUAGAGAUCGGGAAGAAUACCAGUGGUGCAGACGGCAAGCUGGCGCGUACCUGACGCUGAGCCACGAAAGCAUGGGGAGCAAACAGG
rnacentral:rRNA from 1 species